rnacentral:rRNA from 1 species
AAGAGUUUGAUCCUGGCUCAGAUCGAACGCUAGCGGCAGGCCUAACACAUGCAAGUCGAACGAGAAAGGGACUUCGGUCCCGAGUAGAGUGGCGCACGGGUGAGUAACGCGUAAGUUAUCUACCUCGGCAUCUGGAAUAACUCACCGAAAGGUGUGCUAAUACCGGAUACGCUUAGCAAUCAAGAAAGGUGGCNNNNNNNNNNNNNNNCUGUAUAUGCGCCUGUCGCUAGAUGAGUCCGCGUACCAUUAGCUAGUUGGUAGGGUAAUGGCCUACCAAGGCGACGAUGGGUAGCGGGUCUGAGAGGAUGAUCCGCCACACUGGAACUGGAACACGGACCAGACUCCUACGGGAGGCAGCAGUGAGGAAUAUUGCGCAAUGGGGGAAACCCUGACGCAGCGACGCCGCGUGGAUGAUGAAGGCCCUUGGGUCGUAAAAUCCUGUCAGAUGGAAAGAAAUGCCACAGGGCUAAUAUCUUUGUGGUUUGACGGUACCAUCAAAGGAAGCACCGGCUAACUCCGUGCCAGCAGCCGCGGUAAUACGGAGGGUGCAAGCGUUGUUCGGAAUUACUGGGCGUAAAGCGCGCGCAGGUGGUUUGCUCAGUCAGAUGUGAAAGCCCACGGCUUAACCGUGGACGUGCAUUUGAUACUGGCAGACUUGAGUACUGGAGGGGGUAGUGGAAUUCCUAGUGUAGCGGUGAAAUUCGUAGAUAUCGGGAGGAAUACCGGUGGCGAAGGCGACUUCCUGGCUUGUAACUGACGCUGAGGCGCGAAAGCGUGGGGAGCAAACAGGAUUAGAUACCCUGGUAGUCCACGCUGUAAACGAUGAGUACUAGGUGUCGGGGGUAUCGACCCCCUCGGUGCCGCAGCUAACGCAAUAAGCACUCCGCCUGGGGAGUACGGUCGCAAGACUGAAACUCAAAGGAAUUGACGGGGGCCCGCACAAGCGGUGGAGUAUGUGGUUUAAUUCGACGCAACGCGAAGAACCUUACCAAGGCUUGACAUCCUGGGAAUCUCAAGGAAACUGGAGAGUGCCUCGCAAGAGGAGCCUGGUGACAGGUGCUGCAUGGCUGUCGUCAGCUCGUGUCGUGAGAUGUUGGGUUAAGUCCCGCAACGAGCGCAACCCUUAUCUUUAGUUGCCAUCAUUAAGUUGGGCACUUUGAAGAAGACUGCCGUUGAUAAACCGGAGGAAGGGGGGGAUGACGUCAAGUCCUCAUGGCCCUUAUGUCCAGGGCUACACACGUGCUACAAUGGCCGGUACAAAGGGAUGCGACAACGUAAGUUGUAGCAACCCCCAGAAAAUAGGUCCCAGUCCGGAUUGGAGUCUGCAACUCGACUCCAUGAAGUUGGAAUCGCUAGUAAUCGUGGAUCAGCACGCCACGGUGAAUACGUUCCCGGGCCUUGUACACACCGCCCGUCACACCACGGGAGUUGGUUGUACCAGAAGCAGUUGAGCUAACCGCAAGGAGGCAGGCUGCCAAGGUAUGGCUAGUAACUGGGGUGAAGUCGUAACAAGGUAACC